GCCCCGCAAUGGACCUCAGAGCGAGAAAGAGCAGCAUCCAGGUGUGAAGGUCCAGGCAGGCGUCAGACAGAAGGCCCCGUAGUUCCCUGCUCACCAGACAGAACCGGAUUUUUAAUGCCCGAAGACGAGCUCCGUGCACAGACCAUUUCCUAGAGCGCCGUGGUCAGCUCUGGUGCGCUCUGGAGGGUCGCCGUCGGUGAACGUGCUGGUGCCCAGGCCUGGAUGUGGUUACCGUGACAACUUCAGGUUCAAGUGCACCUGAAACACUCUCUCACCUGGAGGCCCACUCUGCAGAAGUUUGGUUAUCCUUGGCCCUACUGUGAAACCCUGCGGUUGGGAACGCAUGCUCCAUUCACUUCCUUCCGCUCCCCAGUCCCGCAGGAGGAAAACACCGCUGUCCCUGGAGGGAAUUACUUCAGAAUCAGCAACUAUGGGUUGGUGACACAACUAACUAUAAGAUAUGGGAAUCCUAUUCCUUGAUGAAGGAAUGCCCAUGGGAUCAACGUCAGUGAACCCCAGGCUGAAUGUAAGGGUUCUUCCCCCAGCAGGUCGCAGCCAGGAUGGGAGCGUCCAGGUCGCGGGCGGCCGCGUUGAGCCGGGUUUCCGUUGUCUGAGCGCGCCCCCUACCGGCCCCAAGGGCGCAGCGCCACCUGCUCGGUGACACACGGUUGACGACAUGGCCCAGAGGACACCGUGCACCCUGUACUGGUGG